ACAACCCUAUGCGGUGGAUCACUAGGCUCGCGAGUCGAUGAAGAGCGCAGCAAAGUGCGUGAAUUAAUGUGAUUUGCAGGACACAUUGAUCAUCGAUAUCUUGAACGCAUAUUGCGGUUACGGUUCGCUUCCGUGACCACGCCUGUCUGAGGGUCGGUUUACAUAUGU
rnacentral:rRNA from 2 species